rnacentral:lncRNA from 1 species
ACGCACGUUUCGCAAGGCUCCUGCCUUUAUAACAGCGUGGUGCUGCUCCUGGCAGAUCGCUGGGCUGCCUGCAGAGCCACGGGCAGCAGCCAAUCCUCCUCACCAUGAUUCUCCUCCUGCAGUACUUCUUCAUGCUGGCCACAGACCUGGUGCUGGCCAUGACCCUCUCGUGCCUCUUCUACGCCUUCGCGUGCGCCUCCAUUGCGUUGCUGACCUGCUGCGCCAUCGUCUUCUCCUUCGGCAGCACCGAGAGGAGCGCCGACGUCAAAGGGAGAGCCAUCGUCAUCCUAGUGUCCAACAGCUCCAUCGGCAGGAUGUUUGCAAGGAACCUGGACAGAGCAGGCUUCGGGGUGUCUGCUGCUCAGUGGCCUGCCCGGGAGGAGAGGACAGUGACACAAGAGUGCCCAUCCAACAAGGAGGUAGCCCAGCUGCACCUGACCGAAGAUGAGUAUCAGAAGACAGUGAAAACCUUCAUAGAAAGCCACUUAUCCCUGAAAGGCAUGUACGGGCAGAUGAGGAAGCCGUCCAUCCUGAUCUGGGACGAGGGGGCUGCGGACACACAAGCGUCCUGCGAGGGCAGGAGCGCUCCCAGGGCGCCCCGCAGGAACCGCCUGCUGCGCACAGCAGCUCUCUGCAUCUCAGUCCUGUGUCACCCAGUGACCUGUGUCCUGACUCUCCUGAAGAGAAGCCCACAGCUGCUCGUGCCUCUGCUGAAGCCCAGAAAGUGACAGCCAGCAAGGCAACCCACCGGGCACUGCACACUGGCACUGCCACACCACAAUGGAAAACGGAGCGUAGCUGGGAUCACAAGUGACAAACUCCUUGCAGCAGGGGAUUAUGAGCAGUGACUUCAAUUGCAAGCCAACAAAAAACCGUGGAUGAAGACAGACAACACCUUCAGAACCAUGACACAGGUCUGCAGCUCCCUUGCAAGUCUAAUCUGUAAGGAAGAGAACCCCAAGACAUUGAAAUUUUGGGUUGUUCAUUACAGUGCUGUACUGUGCACACUGGGAUAUGCACAGAGGAAAAAACAUCUGGGGGUGAAAGGAAAUAAAGGAAGAACUCUGCUGGGAAGCA